UUCCCGACCUGGGAGAAGAGCAUCUGCAGCGACGCCUUCCUCAAGAAAGAGCGGCAGUGGGAAAGAACAGAAAGGGAAGAAGAUGAUAUACCGGAAAUGGAGUCUGCUAACGGGCCCAGUGGCGAUCUUGGGCGGAAUAGUUGGCGCCGUAGUAGUAGCCAAUUUCAUCUUUGUGCAAAACGAUCCAUUUCUUAAGCCGGAGGAGAAGAGGCCAAACACAUCAUCAUCAUCAUCAUCAUCAUCAUCAUCAUCAUCGAGCAAGUAAGAGUGGCUGCUACAUGUCAAAGUUGAAUGACCCUGUCUGUGGUCUGUGUUUGUCAAGUUUGUUGGCUUAAAAACAUGAAUUUUAAGCUGAAUAAUGUUAAAGUUUGAACCAAAGUUUGUGUAAUUGACUUGUUCAUCUUUAAUGACCAUUUGAUAAGUUCUUUGUCGUUAAAA